rnacentral:rRNA from 1 species
GAGUGGCGGACGGGUGAGUAACACGUGGGUAACCUGCCCUAAAGUGGGGGAUAACAUUUGGAAACAGAUGCUAAUACCGCAUAAAACCUAACACCGCAUGGUGUAGGGUUGAAAGAUGGUUUCGGCUAUCACUUUAGGAUGGACCCGCGGUGCAUUAGUUAGUUGGUGAGGUAAAGGCUCACCAAGACCGUGAUGCAUAGCCGACCUGAGAGGGUAAUCGGCCACACUGGGACUGAGACACGGCCCARACUCCUACGGGAGGCAGCAGUAGGGAAUCUUCCACAAUGGACGAAAGUCUGAUGGAGCAACGCCGCGUGAGUGAAGAAGGUUUUCGGAUCGUAAAACUCUGUUGUUGGAGAAGAAUGUAUCUGAUAGUAACUGAUCAGGUAGUGACGGUAUCCAACCAGAAAGCCACGGCUAACUACGUGCCAGCAGCCGCGGUAAUACGUAGGUGGCAAGCGUUGUCCGGAUUUAUUGGGCGUAAAGCGAGCGCAGGCGGUUUCUUAAGUCUGAUGUGAAAGCCUUCGGCUCAACCGAAGAAGUGCAUCGGAAACUGGGAAACUUGAGUGCAGAAGAGGACAGUGGAACUCCAUGUGUAGCGGUGAAAUGCGUAGAUAUAUGGAAGAACACCAGUGGCGAAGGCGGCUGUCUGGUCUGUAACUGACGCUGAGGCUCGAAAGCAUGGGUAGCAAACAGGAUUAGAUACCCUGGUAGUCCAUGCCGUAAACGAUGAGUGCUAGGUGUUGGAGGGUUUCCGCCCUUCAGUGCCGCAGCUAACGCAUUAAGCACUCCGCCUGGGGAGUACGACCGCAAGGUUGAAACUCAAAGGAAUUGACGGGGGCCCGCACAAGCGGUGGAGCAUGUGGUUUAAUUCGAAGCAACGCGAAGAACCUUACCAGGUCUUGACAUCCUUUGACCACUCUAGAGAUAGAGCUUUCCCUUCGGGGACAAAGUGACAGGUGGUGCAUGGUUGUCGUCAGCUCGUGUCGUGAGAUGUUGGGUUAAGUCCCGCAACGAGCGCAACCCUUAUUACUAGUUGCCAGCAUUUAGUUGGGCACUCUAGUGAGACUGCCGGUGACAAACCGGAGGAAGGUGGGGACGACGUCAAAUCAUCAUGCCCCUUAUGACCUGGGCUACACACGUGCUACAAUGGAUGGUACAACGAGUUGCGAGACCGCGAGGUUUAGCUAAUCUCUUAAAACCAUUCUCAGUUCGGAUUGUAGGCUGCAACUCGCCUACAUGAAGCCGGAAUCGCUAGUAAUCGCGGAUCAGCAUGCCGCGGUGAAUACGUUCCCGGGCCUUGUACACACCGCCCGUCACACCAUGAGAGUUUGUAACACCCAAAGCCGGUGAGGUAACCCUU